rnacentral:sRNA from 1 species
UAACAUCGCUGAGAUGUGUGCCAUCUAC